GUGCUUCUUGCUUGGCAGACCACGGUGAGCUGGGACGGGGACAAGCUCCAGUGUGUGCAGAAGGGCGAGAAGGAGGGACGCGGCUGGACCCAGUGGAUUGAGGGUGAUGAGCUGCACCUGGAGAUGAGAGUGCAGGGUGUUGUCUGCAAGCAAGUAUUCAAGAAGGUCCACUGAGGCCCAGGGAAAUCAUUGGUGUCAAGGAAUGAGUGGUGUGGGUGUGUGGGCCCGGAUCCCCCCCCCUUUGCACAGCAGGGGGUAGCCACACCCAGGCAUCUGUUAGAAGAGUCAGUCUCUUGGCUUUGUCUCUUUUCCUUUGCUUAAAACAGAGCCAUACCAAUAAAAUGAUCUCUGUUCAA